rfam:Triticum aestivum genome assembly, contig: Triticum_aestivum_CS42_TGACv1_scaffold_030775_1BL
UAUGUACUCCCUCCGUCCCAAAAUUCUUGUCUUAGAUUUGUCUAGAUACGGAUGUAUCAAGUCACGUCUUAGUAUUAGAUACAUCCGUAUCUAGACAAAUCUAACACAAGAAUUUUGGGAUGGAGGGAGUAGUGA